GUGUAUUCUGGCUACGGGAGAAACAGAAUCAUAAAGUGGUCUCUAGCUCGGGAAGGACCAUAGAGGAUGGUAUUCCAGACCUUCAAGAUGCAGAAGCAAAGUCUAAUAAGGAGUUCAGGAGUAAACUGACAGCCUAGAACUAAUUCAGAAUCACCA